rnacentral:rRNA from 1 species
AACGAACGCUGGCGGCAGGCCUAACACAUGCAAGUCGAGCGAGGACUUCGGUCCUAGCGGCGGACGGGUGAGUAACGCGUGGGAACGUGCCCCUUGGUACGGAAUAGCCCCGGGAAACUGGGAGUAAUACCGUAUGAGCUCUACGGAGGAAAGAUUUAUCGCCAAGGGAUCGGCCCGCGUUGGAUUAGGUAGUUGGUGGGGUAAUGGCCUACCAAGCCGACGAUCCAUAGCUGGUUUGAGAGGAUGAUCAGCCACACUGGGACUGAGACACGGCCCAGACUCCUACGGGAGGCAGCAGUGGAGAAUCUUAGACAAUGGGCGCAAGCCUGAUCUAGCCAUGCCACGUGAGCGAUGAAGGCCUUAGGGUUGUAAAGCUCUUUCAGCGAGGAAGAUAAUGACUGUACUCGCAGAAGAAGCCCCGGCUAACUCCGUGCCAGCCGCCGCGGUAAAAC